rnacentral:rRNA from 1 species
AGGGAAUUUUCGGCAAUGGGGGAAACCCUGACCGAGCAACGCCGCGUGAGUGAAGAAGGCCUUCGGGUUGUAAAGCUCUGUUGUAAGGGAAGAACAAGUGUGAGAGGGAAUGCUCAUGCUAUGACGGUACCUUACCAGAAAGCCACGGCUAACUACGUGCCAGCAGCCGCGGUAAUACGUAGGUGGCAAGCGUUAUCCGGAAUUAUUGGGCGUAAAGGGAGCGCAGGCGGUCUAUUAAGUUUAUGGUGAAAGUUCGGGGCUCAACCCCGUGAUGCCAUAGAAACUGGUAGACUUGAGUGCAGGAGAGGUUAGUGGAAUUCCAUGUGUAGCGGUAAAAUGCGUAGAUAUAUGGAGGAACACCAGUGGCGAAGGCGGCUAACUGGCCUGUAACUGACGCUGAGGCUCGAAAGCGUGGGGAGCAAAU